UACGUAGGGCGCAAGCGUUAUCCGGAAUUAUUGGGCGUAAAGAGCUCGUAGGCGGUUUGUCGCGUCUGCCGUGAAAGUCCGGGGCUCAACUCCGGAUCUGCGGUGGGUACGGGCAGACUAGGGUGAUGUAGGGGAGACUGGAAUUCCUGGUGUAGCGGUGGAAUGCGCAGAUAUCAGGAGGAACACCGGUGGCGAAGGCGGGUCUCUGGGCAGUAACUGACGCUGAGGAGCGAAAGCGUGGGGAGCGAACAGG
rnacentral:rRNA from 1 species